GGCUCAGGACGAACGCUGGCGGCGUGCCUAAUACAUGCAAGUCGAACGGUCUUUCUAUGGAAGCUUGCUUCCACUGAGAAGAUAGUGGCGAACGGGUGAGUAACACGUGGGUAACCUGCCCAUAAGAGGGGGAUAACAUCCGGAAACGGGUGCUAAUACCGCAUAGUUUUCUUGAUCGCAUGAUCGGGAAAGGAAAGACGGCCUUUGUGCUGUCGCUUAUGGAUGGACCCGCGGCGUAUUAGUUAGUUGGUGAGGUAACGGCUCACCAAGACGAUGAUACGUAGCCGACCUGAGAGGGUGAUCGGCCACAUUGGGACUGAGACACGGCCCAAACUCCUACGGGAGGCAGCAGUAGGGAAUCUUCCGCAAUGGACGAAAGUCUGACGGAGCAACGCCGCGUGAGUGAAGAAAGGUUUUCGGAUCGUAAAACUCUGUUGUCAGAGAAGAACAAGUUGGAGAGUAACUGCUCCAGCCUUGACGGUAUCUGACCAGAAAGCCACGGCUAACUACGUGCCAGCAGCGGC
rnacentral:rRNA from 1 species